UGCCAGACUCCUACGGGAGGCAGCAGUGGGGGAUAUUGCACAAUGGGGGAAGCCCUGAUGCAGCGACGCCGCGUGGGUGAAGAAGCGCCUCGGCGCGUAAAGCUCUAUCAGCAGGGAAGAAAAUGACGGUACCUGACUAAGAAGCCCCGGCUAACUACGUGCCAGCAGCCGCGGUAAUACGUAGGGGGCAAGCGUUAUCCGGAUUUACUGGGUGUAAAGGGAGCGUAGACGGCAUGGCAAGUCAGAUGUGAAAGCCCGGGGCUCAACCCCGGGACUGCAUUUGAAACUGUCAGGCUGGAGUGCAGGAGAGGUAAGUGGAAUUCCUAGUGUAGCGGUGAAAUGCGUAGAUAUUAGGAGGAACACCAGUGGCGAAGGCGGCUUACCGGACUGUAACUGACGUUGAGGCUCGAAAGCGUGGGGAGCAAACAGGAUUAGAUACCCCAGUA
rnacentral:rRNA from 1 species